GCUGAAGUCAGCAUUUGGGACAGGAAGUGUAGAGGACGUCAGAGUCCAUCAGAGCUGAGCUGCUUUCAGACGACUCCGUCUUGUUGUGAAUGCUGAAGCUGAUCAUGGUUCUCCUGUGGAUGAUCCUGUUGGUGGUUCUGCUCUGUGCAGAGGCCGAGAACGUGACCGAGGUCAGAGGAGAGCUGGGGACCAAUGUCACUCUAACCUGCUCCAAUCAGACAUCAGGCACACACUGGUACAUGGAGAUCUACAGCCAGUUCAGAGCAUGUGUCAGCUGCCAGAUUUCUUCAACACAUUUUACCUACAACUCUCCUGAUUUUGAAACCAAAUUUUCACUCCUGGGAAACAAACUCAUGAUUAAAAACUUCAGUGCAGGAGACUGCAGGCUUUACUUCUGUGGCAUCAACAGAAAUGACAGCAUUCAUUUUGUGGAGACUUUCCGUCUCGUCUCAGUUUUUCUUUCUCCAGAUAUCUUUCCAACCUCUGAGUCAGACCCUCAGCAGCAGAGCAGCUCCAUAUCACAGCAUCACCUCCUCAUCAUAUACCGCUCAGCCUUCCUCAUUACUGCCAUCACCCUUGUCAUACUGGGAAAAAAGUCACAUGUUUUGAGGCAUGCUUAAUCACGCAGUUGUGGUUUUUACGUCUCUGUGGGUGAAGAGAAAAUCUCUCCAGGUGCGCAGCCCUCGACCUGUGACCAGUUGGAUUGCAGAGACUGUGCAGAGU
ensembl:lncRNA